UACAGAGGGUGCGAGCGUUGUCCGGAAUCACUGGGCGUAAAGGGCGCGUAGGCGGCCGCGUAAGUCACUUGUGAAAUCCCGGGGCUCAACUCCGGGGCCGCAGGUGAGACUGCGUGGCUAGAGCACGGUAGAGGCGAGUGGAAUUCCCGGUGUAGCGGUGGAAUGCGUAGAUAUCGGGAAGAACAUCGGUGGCGAAGGCGGCUCGCUGGGCCCUUACUGACGCUGAGACUCGAAAGCGUGGGGAGCAAACGGG
rnacentral:rRNA from 1 species